rnacentral:rRNA from 1 species
GGCUUUAGCGCGGUGGUCCCACCUGACCCCAUGCCGAACUCAGAAGUGAAACGCCGUAGCGCCGAUGGUAGUGUGGGGUCUCCCCAUGUGAGAGUAGGGAACUGCCAGGCA